rnacentral:lncRNA from 1 species
AACUGUCCUUCCCUUCUCAGGAGCUAGGGAGACAGCCCUUCAUCUUGCCAAAUCCCGAACUGCAGACCAGACAUCUCUCCAUUUGGUUGACUUCCUUGUACAAAACUGUGGGAACCUCGAUAAGCAGACUUCCAUGGGAAACACAGUUCUGCGCUACUGCAGUGUACAGCAAGCCGAGUGUAUGAAGCUGCUGCUGAGGGGCAAGCCCACGUGGACAUUGUGAACCAAGCUGGAGAAACUGCCUUGGACAUAGCAAAGAGACUAAAAGCUACCCAGUGUGAAGAUCUGCUUUCCCAGGCUAAAUCUGGCAAGUUCAACCCACACGUCCAUGUUGAAUAUGAGUGGAACCUUCGACAGGAGGAGAUGGAUGAAAGUGAUGACGAUCUGGAUGACAAACCAAGCCCAGUCAAGAAGGAGCUCCUCACCCAGGCCUCAGAGCUUCUGCCACUCCUCCAGCAUCUCCCCCCAAGACAAGUUGGCGCUGCCAGGAUUCAGCACUCCACGGGACAAGCAGCGGCUCUCCUACGGAGCUUUCACCAACCAGAUGUUUAUCUCCACGACCACGGACUCGCCCACUAUCACCAACUGCAGAGGCUCCCCCUCUGCCUCCUAGGAACGCUGGGAAAGGUCCAACUGGCCCACCUUCAACACUCCCUCUAAGCACCCAGACCUCUAGUGGCAGCUCCACCCUAUCCAAGAAGAGGCCUCCUCCCCCACCACCCGGACACAAGAGAACCCUGUCUGACCCUCCCAGCCCACUACCUCAUGGGCCCCCAAACAAAGGCGCAGUUCCUUGGGGUAACGAUGUGGGUCCAUCAUCUUCAAGUAAGAACGCAAACAAAUUUGAGGGGUUGUCUCAGCAGUCGAGGUGAGCCAUCUUAGCACUUUCUCUUUGGCUCAAACUUGGCAGUACGCAGAAUUGUAGAAGUGGGCUUCAGCUGCUCUCCCGUUCUGCCCAAGUGUGUCAGCCAUGGUGCCGUUUAUGCUGGGAAACUGAGCGUCGGCUGGCAGUUUGCACGAUCAUCUUGCUGUACAACCACAAAGGGCAUCAUCGCCUGACAUGGGUCUGUGUCCUUCAUGACAGCAGGUGCUGGCCUCACUGUCCUGGGGUCCCAGAGUCACACUGUUCUCCAACGAAACUCCUUCAGAAAAAGUUUGAGCUUUUAUUUUUGCUGUCUUAAUUAAGUAAUUUUGUUUUGUUGCUUUCCCUCUUCACCCCUUUUCCAGACCAGAGAAUGAAAAGAUGCUCCUCAGGGAAAUAUAAUACCCCAGAGAUCUCCAAACAUUAAAAAAAUGACUGCUUCCAGGUUCCCAGUUUGUAAGAUUUUUCUAGGUAGGCUGUAAAUAGUGUUUCUCCCUCUUCUCCCAAAAUGAGCUACUUUGAGAAAUUUUAUCCAACCCUACCCCAAAGACUUUGAAGAUAACAGUACUGGCAAGGACACAAAGAGCCACUUCCAGACCCGAAACCUCAGGGAGGAAGAAUCAGCUGGUGUGUGGGAGCCACUUUCUAGAGUUUACCAAAGAUGAAGAAACAAGCCCUGUUCUUUGAAUACUACUGUGUUACUCACUCUGCAAGCCUGUGAGAUAAAGCCCAAUUACUAUCAUCUUCAGUUUCAUAGAUGAGAAAACCGAGGCCCGGAGUGCUGAAGCGGAGCCUGGGUGUCCCAGCUGGUCCUCCACACUUGGUGCUCCUUGUCCUCCCUGACCCUCCCCACAAAACGGGUUCUGGUCUUCCAGAGUUGGGAGUGGUGCAACACACUCAUAGAUGUCUUAAACAGGAGCUGGAGAUACAACUCGGUGGUGGAACACUUAACCUAGCCUGCAUGAGACCCAGGUUCAACCCCAUCAUGGCAAAGAAAACAUUGUUCUUUAAUAUUUUUAAACAGUAUCAAGCUGAUUUUUGGCCAUUCACUGAGCUUUCAUUGCCCUGCCCCUGUGUGCCCUGUCCUGGCAGCACCCUCAUGCUCCUCCCAUAGGAAGAAGCCCAUGCAGUGUUGAUCCCAGGGCUCCUGGUAAGGAUGUCUGAGCCUUUAGACCAGUGGGGGCAAGCCUAUGGCACGUGUGCCACAGCAGAUGAUUUGUUAUCACUGAGAGCUCUAAAAGGUUUGCCCUCACUGCUCUAGGCCUUGGUUUUAGGAAGGGGCCACAAGUGGCCACAGGCCGUGCUCACACCAGAAGCUGGUGAGCCAGGUCUCCCUGAAGCUGCUGAUGCAGAACAGGAGGGACACAGCCCAGAAAUGCUGGAAGCGAAGCCCUCUUGCAUUUGCUGUUUCUCUUCCAUCAGUGGCUCUGCCCACACAGAUAAGAGGGUUGCCUGUGAGCUCUGAAGGGUCUGGGAGGCCCAGGGUGGCUGAGGGCUGGGACUAAAGACAGGAGCACAUGCCUUUAAUCUUCUUCCUUUGACUUCUUGUGUUUGGCUGGUUGCUUGCUUUUUCCUUUCCUUUAAGUACAGUUAGGCCAGAGAGAAGGAAAGCAGCCACCUCCUGGGACAUUAGGGGACAGACAGGAAAGGGGCUCGAGAUCAUAAAAGGGGCUCUUGGUAGGUGGGACUCAGGCCCUGCCUGGACUGCUUUGCUUCUCAGGUGUGCAGGGCUCCGGCAGUCUCCAAGGACCCUUAAGGCCUCCUGUUAGAAGGAAGUAGUGGCUUUCAGCUGAUGAGAGGACAUAUUUGGUUAUUCAGACCACAUGGUGCAGGUUGCCAUUCCAGGGACUGGGGCAUUGCUUUCCCCUACUCAUUUACAUGUCCUCCAAAAGGAAGCCACUGCCGGGGCGUGCCUGAGAACCCAAGCCGCCUGUGCUGGUGUAGGAGGAAGUGAGAGCUCGGGCCCUGCAAAGGGGCUGAAUUUCCACUUCCACCACUAGCUGGCCUGGGGCCUUCUGCCAGCUAGUGACCCUCAGCACUCUUUGGUUUCCCUAUCUGAAACGGGGGUAACAGGGAUCACAAGACAUGGGCGCCUGUGUGCUUUAUUUGGGGUGUUUUUAUACACAUCACCCGAGGAAAAGCCUUGGCUUUAUCACUAAUAGUUAUUUCUCACCUUACCCUGUGCUUCUCCAGCAAGGCACACUGAAAUGCAAAAACUAGACUGUAAUAUUUUGUUAAAUAAAUUGUGAAAGGACUAUUUCGAUCAUUCAUAAUACCUUUGGUUUCACGAAGAGUAGAUCACUGUUGCCAUUAUAGCUCUUAUAGAUCCUAAAUUAUUGUUAUUUAUCAAAUAGCACCAGUUCUGCAAAGACUGCCCUUGGCCCAAGAGUCCUUCCUAAACUACCUCAGAAAGUGGCACUAAGGAAAACAGAAACAAGCCAUCAUCUCUCCCUAGACAAAGCCAACGUCCCAUCUGAGAUUUUCCAGAAAUCAUCGCAGCUGACAGAGUUACCACAGAAGCCCCCACCUGGAGACCUGCCCCCAAAGCCCACAGAACUGGCCCCCAAGCCCCAGAUUGGAGACUUGCCACCUAAGCCCGGAGAGCUCCCCCCAAAGCCGCAGCUGGGUGACCUGCCACCCAAGCCCCAGCUCUCAGACUUACCCCCCAAGCCACAAAUGAAGGACCUGCCCCCAAACCGCAGCUGGGAGACCUGCUGGCAAAAUCCCAGGCUGCCGGACAUCUCACCCAAGGCUCUGCAGCCCUCCGAGGGCCAUGCAGAAGUCACACCCAGUGGAUCUGUCCCCAAACAUGCAGUCCAGAGACGCCAUCCAGAAGCAGGUGUCAGAAGACUCCAACGACCUCACGCCCACUCUGCCUGAGACGCCUGUGCCGCUGCCCAGGAAGAUCAACACGGGGAAGAAUAAAGUGAGACGUGUGAAGACCAUCUAUGACUGCCAGGCCGACAAUGACGACGAGCUCACAUUCAUUGAGGGGGGAAGUGAUCGUUGUCACAGGGGAAGAGGACCAGGAGUGGUGGG